rnacentral:rRNA from 1 species
UGGGGAAUUGUUCGCAAUGGGCGCAAGCCUGACGACGCAACGCCGCGUGGAGGAUGAAGACUUUCGGGUCGUAAACUCCUUUCGACCGAGACGGAAAGCCUAGGACCUAAUACGUCGUGGGCCUGACGGUAUCGGGAGAAGAAGCCCCGGCUAACUCCGUGCCAGCAGCCGCGGUAACACGGGGGGGGCAAGCGUUGUUCGGAAUUACUGGGCGUAAAGGGUUCGUAGGUGGUCUGCUAAGUCGGACGUGAAAUCCCUCAGCUUAACUGGGGAACUGCGUCCGAGACUGGUGGGCUUGAGUGCAGGAGAGGAACGCGGAAUUCCAGGUGUAGCGGUGAAAUGCGUAGAUAUCUGGAGGAACACCGGUGGCGAAGGCGGCGUUCUGGACUGCAACUGACACUGAGGAACGAAAGCCAGGGGAGCAAACGGGAUUAGAUACCCCGGUAGUCCUGGCCCUAAACGAUGAAUGCUUGGUGUGGCGGGUAUCGAUCCCUGCCGUGCCGAAGCGAACGCAUUAAGCAUUCCGCCUGGGGAGUACGGUCACAAGGCUG